rnacentral:rRNA from 1 species
CAAUAAGCGGAGGAAAAGAAACCAACAGGGAUUGCCUCAGUAACGGCGAGUGAAGCGGCAACAGCUCAAAUUUGAAAUCUGGCUCUUUCAGGGUCCGAGUUGUAAUUUGUAGAAGAUGUUUCGAGUGUGGCUCCGGUCUAAGUUCCUUGGAACAGGACGUCAUAGAGGGUGAGAAUCCCGUAUGUGACUGGUUGCCUUCGCUCAUGUGAAACUCUUUCGACGAGUCGAGUUGUUUGGGAAUGCAGCUCAAAAUGGGUGGUAAAUUUCAUCUAAAGCUAAAUAUUGGCCAGAGACCGAUAGCGCACAAGUAGAGUGAUCGAAAGAUGAAAAGCACUUUGGAAAGAGAGUUAAACAGUACGUGAAAUUGUUGAAAGGGAAGCGCUUGCAACCAGACUUGCGCGUGGUUGAUCAUCCGGGGUUCUCCCCGGUGCACUCGAUCACGCUCAGGCCAGCAUCGGUUUGGGUGGUUGGAUAAAGGCCUUGGGAAUGUGGCUUCCUUCGGGGAGUGUUAUAGCCCUCGGUGCAAUGCAGCCUACCCGGACCGAGG